rnacentral:lncRNA from 1 species
AUGAAAGCCACCCUACUCAUAAAAGGAAGUUGCAAUUGCACGGACUCCCACCAUGGAGAAAGAAUCUUCAGAACUCAUCAGCAGGAGGCAUUACUGGACUUAGACGGAAAUUUAAAAGUUGGAGUUUCUUGUUCUGACAUUGAUCUGGACUCCAGUCUUAACGCAUGGCUGAGAGCACACAGAAGCACCAAAGUUUAGCUGUGGUUUCGCGUCAGGACAGAGCUACUGAUUCAUGACAGCCUACCAGAUUUGUACCCUGAGGAGGUGAUAAACACGCCGGCCAUGUGCAGAAGUCUCUCUUUCUCCUAUUCCGUGUAAGUCAAAACAGUGCUGAAAAUUGAGAUUCAGCACCAGACUCUAGUGAUUCCCUGUCCUCUGCCUUCUACUAACAUAAGCUA